rnacentral:rRNA from 1 species
CACUCCUGCGGGAGGCAGCAGUGGGGAAUAUUGGACAAUGGGCGCAAGCCUGAUCCAGCCAUGCCGCGUGAGUGAUGAAGGCCCUAGGGUUGUAAAGCUCUUUCACCGGUGAAGAUAAUGACGGUAACCGGAGAAGAAGCCCCGGCUAACUUCGUGCCAGCAGCCGCGGUAAUACGAAGGGGGCUAGCGUUGUUCGGAUUUACUGGGCGUAAAGCGCACGUAGGCGGACUAUUAAGUCAGGGGUGAAAUCCCGGGGCUCAACCCCGGAACUGCCUUUGAUACUGGUAGUCUUGAGUUCGAGAGAGGUGAGUGGAAUUCCGAGUGUAGAGGUGAAAUUCGUAGAUAUUCGGAGGAACACCAGUGGCGAAGGCGGCUCACUGGCUCGAUACUGACGCUGAGGUGCGAAAGCGUGGGGAGCAAACAGGAUUAGAAACCCUUGUAGUCCC